rnacentral:rRNA from 1 species
GGGGAAUUUUCCGCAAUGGGCGCAAGCCUGACGGAGCAAUACCGCGUGAGGGAGGAAGGCUUUUGGGUUGUAAACCUCUUUUCUCAAGGAAGAAGCACUGACGGUACUUGAGGAAUCAGCAUCGGCUAACUCCGUGCCAGCAGCCGCGGUAAUACGGAGGAUGCAAGCGUUAUCCGGAAUUAUUGGGCGUAAAGCGUCCGCAGGUGGUGCAUCAAGUCUGCUGUCAAAGACCAGGGCUUAACCCCGGGAAGGCAGUGGAAACUGGUGGACUAGAGUACGGUAGGGGUAGAGGGAAUUCCCAGUGUAGCGGUGAAAUGCGUAGAGAUUGGGAAGAACACCAGUGGCGAAGGCGCUCUACUGGACCUGUACUGACACUCAGGGACGAAAGCUAGGGGAGCGAAAGGGAUUAGAUACCCCUGUAGUCA